UACAGAGGGGGCGAGCGUUGUUCGGAAUUACUGGGCGUAAAGGGCGCGUAGGCGGCCUGCUAAGUCGAACGUGAAAUCCCUGGGCUCAACCCAGGAACUGCGUCCGAUACUGGUUGGCUUGAAUCCGGGAGAGGGAUGUGGAAUUCCAGGUGUAGCGGUGAAAUGCGCAGAUAUCAGGAGGAACACCGGUGGCGAAGGCGGG
rnacentral:rRNA from 1 species